UGGGCCAGUGAUGAUCGCUGGAGGUGUAUGAGUCAUGGAUCAGUGACUACAGGUCUCAAAAUCUUAGGUCCAC
ensembl:snoRNA